AGCAUGAUGGCAGAGUGGUUAUUGCGGUCGCCUUGAAAGCGAUUAUAUCUAUUUGAUUUCACGGGUUCGAAUCCUGUUCAUGCUGACA
rnacentral:tRNA from 1 species